UACGUAGGGGGCUAGCGUUGUCCGGAUUUAUUGGGCGUAAAGAGCGUGUAGGCGGCCAUGUAGGUCCGGUGUGAAAACUCGAGGCUUAACCUCGAGAUGUCAUCGGAAACCAUUUGGCUAGAGUCCGGAAGAGGAGAGUGGAAUUCCUGGUGUAGCGGUGAAAUGCGCAGAUAUCAGGAGGAACACCGGUGGCGAAGGCGGGUCUCUGGGCCGAUACUGACGCUGAGGAACGAAAGCGUGGGGAGCGAACAGG
rnacentral:rRNA from 1 species